AUGAAGUUGAGAAAGAUGUUUGGAUGGUUGAGACGAAGCUGCUACCAAAAUUUGGUGGCCGGAGGCGGAGGUUGCCGGUGUGUGAACAGUGCGGUGAACAGUGAUUGCGGUGCGUGAACAGUGUCUUAAUGUUUGUUUUUAGCUAGAUUAAUUUCUUAAAUGUUGUAGAGCUUGUAUGUGAAGUUUGGUGAAUUUUGGAGGAAUUUGGAAUUGUUUGUGAUUUUCCGAAGUUUGGACUUUUGUGAUUGAAUUGUGGGAAAUCCGGCCGUCGGAUUUCCCUCGUUUUCGUUGUGGAAUAUAUAAAUCGAGGAAUUGGUGUUAAUGGUGAAGUUUGGAUUAAAUU
rnacentral:lncRNA from 1 species